rnacentral:rRNA from 1 species
UACGGAGGGAGCUAGCGUUGUUCGGAAUUACUGGGCGUAAAGCGCACGUAGGCGGCUUUGUAAGUUAGAGGUGAAAGCCCGGAGCUCAACUCCGGAAUUGCCUUUAAGACUGCAUCGCUUGAAUCCAGGAGAGGUGAGUGGAAUUCCGAGUGUAGAGGUGAAAUUCGUAGAUAUUCGGAAGAACACCAGUGGCGAAGGCGGCUCACUGGACUGGUAUUGACGCUGAGACGCGAAAGCGUGGGGAGCGAACCGG